UGGAUGUCUUAGUGACACUGCCAGAGCGCGCGAAAUCGCCAUAAACAGCGCCUUUCCCUUUCUCCUUCUGUUUCUUAUUCCCCCUUUUUCCUCUUUUGACCAUUUCUCUCUCGAAUUCCUUCCCACAGUUUCGAACCAUUUCUCCAUUUUAUUUAUAUUUUCAUCUUUUCUGUCUUAAACCCAUUUCCCCUCUGCCCUUCGCCUUUUGAACUGCCUUCUUUCAGUCAGUGAGGUAGAGUUGUGAUCAUUUCUCUUUUGGGUUUUAUUUUGUUGUCCUGUUAUAACCUUCGACAAGCCAGCUUACAGAGACGAGGAUCCUCGCAUCCAUGGCAUCAGGAUUAAGUUUCGCGUUGUGCCUAAUUUCCCUCAACCAGAAUCUGUCUAUUUCAGAAAGCAAACCAAAUAGUUGAUGUUAUUGUUCAAUAUCAACUGGCUAUUGACUGUAGAUUCUAGUACGUCGACAUGUCGAGGAGGUUUCGGACUUGUGACCUCUUAGUCCGAUGGUAUUUGUCUAAUCCAAAAGACUUAUUUUAGAACAUGUUGGAGCUGAAGUGAUUGAAUGUGCUUCCGUCAUUGUAACAGUCCAAACCCACCGCUAGUGAAUGUUGUCUGCUUUGAUCCAUUACGAUCUUCCUAGAUGCCUAAACCGUUCUCGUAAACAAUUUGAAAAGAAAAGCGAAAGAACUGUCAGAUAUAGACCUCUCAAACAGUUGCUUUCUAGUUUUGGAGUAUGGUUAGGUGAAUUGCUGCUGGUUACAUUAUAUCCCUGUUUUCGUGGACCCCUUUGAAUGUGGAGCCAAGUUACUGAAUAUUUGAGACAUGCUCAUGUGUGCAAUUUUUUGACAUCUCUUGUCGACAAAUACUGCAUCAAUGAUGUUACUUGACGAUGCAGGGUUGGACGUGAUUGAACGGUAAGCCAUCGUUCGUGCUAGGGAGUGUACCAUGAAUGCAGGAAGAUGAGUUUUCAUCCAUUGAUGCAGCAAAGAUAGAUUAUACAUCAAUUCCCAGCUUCAACUCAAAGCCAAAUGUGACAAAGCAAACCACCAUCUCUUUCAACCACUGCCCCACUCCAACAUAAAAGAAAAACAGAAUAAGAAUCUGUUGAAAUGCCAUUUUCACUAUUCAAUGAUUUGGUGAGUUUGGGUAGGUGCCUUAAAUACGAAAGAAAAUGGCCUAUUUUGAUCGAUCAAAGGUAUGAUAUUGUCCAUUUUGAGUGUCAGCCGACUCAGCUUUAUUCUUGAAACCCGACAUGUUUAUCAUGUCAUUGGGUUAGUUUAAUGCAAACGACUUUGCUUGGAAGUAUAGACUUAACUUUUUUAUUUUUUUUGUUAAAUAGGAGAAUUUUUAAUUUAUAUGCCUUUCAUUUUGUGUGAAGGAAAGUAAGAAUUGACUUGCCCUCUACUUAAUGCCCAUUUCUUUGUUGGAAUGGAACAACUCUCUUUAGCU